GUAGGAAUGAGUGGGUUACAUUGGCAAGAAAAAGAGAAAUGAGAAGUAAAAGCUGUAGUGGGAAAAUAGGAAACCACUAGACAUGUUUUUAGUCGGAGUGAAGGUUUUGGAUCAAUGCUACUUGGGAAACAUUCCAAGGAAAAUCUGAAAUGUGUUGGAGGAAAGUGUGGUGUCGGUGAGAGACUUCAGAAGAAGUCUCAAAAAGAUGGAAUGUUUCUUGUAUGGAUUUUCGUAGCCGGGCACCUAUCAAGGGGGUUAUUUCUGGGGUUGCGUAAGAAAUAAAGGCAGAGUAUAUUACUGAAGACAUUGAUGGAGUGGUUGGUGCACGUCAACUGACCUGUAUGAGCCGAGGCUGUGCAAGAAAUCCUGUCGGGACCUACUGGCUUAUUAUGUCCGAAGGAACGGACUGCUUAUCCUUUAACAUCAUGCUGUGUUUGACUGCUGUCUUUCCAUCGGCCCUAUGCAGUGGUGUCGUGGUGCCUGGAGAAUGGGCCUGGCUGACUAGUGUGUGGGCAUGUGUCCAGGCCCACUCACGCCCACGCCCCUGAUGCAAACAGUACAUGAUGACUGACCUGUGCAUCACAAAAAGCCUUUGGACCAAACUCAUUCAAUACAUGGUUUGCAUACCCAUUGUUGCCUUAGUUAGUGUUUUCUAUCUACCCUACCGAUGACAUUCUUCUGUGAGCUCCAUGCCAAAUCCAAUUGGUCUUG